CCUACGGGAGGCAGCAGUGAGGAAUAUUGGUCAAUGGACGAGAGUCUGAACCAGCCACGUAGCGUGAAGGAUGACUGCCCUAUGGGUUGUAAACUUCUUUUAUAAAGGAAUAAAACGAGGCACGUGUGCCUUUUUGCAUGUACUUUAUGAAUAAGGAUCGGCUAACUCCGUGCCAGCAGCCGCGGUAAUACGGAGGAUCCGAGCGUUAUCCGGAUUUAUUGGGUGUAAAGGGAGCGUAGAUGGGUUGGUAAGUCAGUUGUGAAAGUUUGCGGCUCAACCGUAAAAUUGCAAUUGAUACUGGCAGUCUUGAGUACAGUAGAGGUAGGCGGAAUUCGUGGUGUAGCGGUGAAAUGCUUAGAUAUCACGAAGAACCCCGAUUGCGAAGGCAGCCUACUAGACUGUGACUGACAUUGAGGCUCGAAAGUGUGGGUAUCAAACAGGAUUAGAUACCCCAGUAGUC
rnacentral:rRNA from 1 species